GGCCAGACAGGUCCCUUCUCAGUUUGAGUCCCACAGAGGCAAGAAGUAGGCAGGCCGGGAGGCCGCCGGGGACUGGGACACCGAAGACUUAAUCAAAGUCUCCGCGUGAGGUGGGCACGUCUGUCAGAUGGGGCAGGACCGAAGUGGGUUUCCGCGCCGGGGGACCGGAACCAUGAUGCUGCACUCGAUGCACGGGAACACAGCUGGCUCCUCGUCUUCAUCAUCGUCCAGGCUGGCCGUCCCUUCGACCACCUCCUCCAGCAGCUCACACAGAUCCUGCCUCCAUGAGGGGACACUGAUCACACCCAUGGAACGGAUGAAGAAAUGGGCUGCACCCGAAUGUUGAGCAGAAACCACGAGGUCCCCUCUCUAAGAGCCAUCAGUGAUGUGCCAUACCAACAGGGCCAUCCUCCUGGGGGUGUGGUGAAGAUUCAGUGGGCGGGAAACACCUGCUGAGAGCCCAGCAUGUAGCAGCUGUUAUUAAUCCUGAUAAGAUUAUUAUGACCUAUGAGCACCCGCCAAGCCGUUUAAUAAAG